rnacentral:rRNA from 1 species
UACGUAGGGUGCAAGCGUUGUCCGGAUUUAUUGGGCGUAAAGAGCUCGUAGGCGGUCUGUCGCGUCGGAUGUGAAAACCCAGGGCUCAACCCUGGGCCUGCAUUCGAUACGGGCAGACUAGAGUGUGGCAGGGGAGAACGGAAUUCCUGGUGUAGCGGUGGAAUGCGCAGAUAUCAGGAGGAACACCAAUGGCGAAGGCAGAUCUCUGGGCCGUAACUGACGCUGAGGAGCGAAAGCAUGGGGAGCGAACAGG